UACGUAGGGGCCUAGCGUUGUCCGGAUUUAUUGGGCGUAAAGAGCUCGUAGGCGGUUUGGUUAGUCAGGUGUGAAAUCUCCACGCUCAACGUGGAGGGGCCACCUGAUACUGCCAUGACUUGAGUCCGGUAGGGGAGUGUGGAAUUCCCGGUGUAGCGGUGAAAUGCGCAGAUAUCGGGAGGAACACCGAUGGCGAAGGCAGGUCUCUGG
rnacentral:rRNA from 1 species